rnacentral:rRNA from 1 species
UACGUAGGGUGCGAGCGUUGUCCGGAAUUAUUGGGCGUAAAGGGCUCGUAGGCGGUUUUGCAAGUCGGGUGUGAAAUCCCCAGGCUUAACCUGGGAACUGCAUUCGAGACUGCAUUGCUAGAGUAUGGGAGAGGGAAGUGGAAUUUCCGGUGUAGCGGUGAAAUGCGUAGAUAUCGGAAGGAACAUCAGUGGCGAAAGCGACUUCCUGGACCAAUACUGACGCUCAUGUGCGAAAGCGUGGGGAGCAAACAGG